UACCUUUGGGAAAAAAAUAUAUGUGCAGUUAAUGUGUAGAUUGUUUGCAACUUUUUUUGUUGAACUUUCUUUCCUCUCAAUGCUAUUAUGAAUCUGACAGGCAAUAAGACCCAUUGCUCAGGCAUCUAGUUUGCAACGUCCCAGCAUUCUGCAAGGUUCACUUGCUAGGCCAGUUGCCGAACAGUUUGGCAAAAUGUAAGUUGUUUGAAUUUUCUUUCACUUUUUGAAUGGUCUUUUCUAGUAUUCUUAGUGCUCUUACGUCAAAAGGUGUAGUUCUUCUCAGCAUCGUUGAAUAACUUUUAUGUGCUCCACUUCUUGUAGGUCCUUAAGCUUCCC
rnacentral:lncRNA from 1 species